UACGUAGGUGGCAAGCGUUGUCCGGAUUUAUUGGGUUUAAAGGGUGCGUAGGCGGUCCUUUAAGUCAGUGCUGAAAUCCUCUAGCUUAACUAGAGGGGUGGCAUUGAUACUGGAGGACUUGAAUGAAGUCGAGGUAGGCGGAAUUGACGGUGUAGCGGUGAAAUGCUUAGAUAUCGUCAAGAACACCGAUAGUGAAGACAGCUUACUAGGCUUAGAUUGACGCUGAGGCACGAAAGUGUGGGGAUCAAACAGG
rnacentral:rRNA from 1 species